GCUGCAGUGGGUACACAGGUUUCAAAAUGUACAUUUUUGUCCACCAGUCAAAUGGCUAGUUAUUGUUCAAACUUUACCAGCCACUUAAUAGUUUACC